rnacentral:misc_RNA from 1 species
UUUCCGUAGGUGAACCUGCGGAAGGAUCUUCAUAAUAAAGUGUUUUAUGGCACUUUUUAAAAAUCCAUAUCCACCUUGUGUGCAAUGUUAGAUCUCGUCAAUCUUGGCGAGAUUUUUAUACAUCAACUCAUUCUUUAACUAAUUUGUCUGAAAAAUAUUAUGAAUACUUAAUUCAAAAUACAACUUUCAACAACGGAUCUCUUGGCUCUC